rnacentral:lncRNA from 1 species
CAUAGACGAAUGAGAUUAGUGAGGAAUUGAGCAGAGGGAUAGGGUUCGAUUCUUGGUUUCUAUCGCAACAUUGAUGAUUCUGAUAAAUCAGUUUCAUAAUUUGUACUUCUUUGGCUACUACAGUCAAAUACCUGUUUAUCAUGUUCUUCCAUUGAUUCUGCAAGUAAUAUUUAAGUUCAAUGAUCAUAUUUAUAUUCAGGUUUUAGUAUAAUCAUGAUUUAAUAAUUUACCUUCUGUUUUAUAGUCAUAAUUUCAGUAACUUCCUUCUUUUUGUGAUUGUAGCACCUCUUAAUGUUCAUUGACAAAUGCAGCUUGCUCUGAUCUAGAAUUUCGAGUAGGUCUUGCUGAACUUGAUGGUAAGUUUGUAAUGUCAUUAAGUACAUUGUUAGAUUGCCUUCUGAAAUCUCUAAAACCAUUUAUCUGUGUAGUGGUCAAUCCUUUAAAGCUGUUCUGUUUUGCUAUAUAAGAAAAACAUGUGAUUAAUUUUGAUUUGAAGUUUUCAUUCAGCAUUUAAAUGUGUUAGAAAAAAAGUUAUAAUUAUUUCAACAACUUACAUGAAUCUUGUUCACUCUUACGAUUCUUUUUAGGAGCUUUAUGUUGGGAUUUAUGAGACAAAGGCAUUCACUUGAUGAAUGAAACCACUUAACCCACAUUAAGAACUCGAUCUCAAUAGUGAGGAACCAAUCAACUUGUGAUGGAGAGAAUCGAUCUUAACAAGGGAAAAAUACUCUAGUUAAGUAACACAACACUUAGAGUUUGUGUACUUAGAGAAAGAAAAAUUUUGAAUCAGUAAGCUAGAGAUUAAGGAGAGAAUAAAGAAGAGUUUAUGUGAUUUUUACAAGUAUUAGGCUGCCUUAAUGCAUCCUCUAAACCGUGGCUCACUAAACUCACUACAUUAUGAUUAUUGAUUAAGCAUAAGAAGAAGAGAAAGAGCAACACGAAAUGAAGAG